rnacentral:rRNA from 1 species
UCUUUCAUGCCAGUCGGGCGGAUGGAUGUACACUCCAUGAGCGGAGGACUGGUGAGCACCUCGUGUGUAACAUACCUUUUACACGGAUAUAACCCCUGGAAACGGGCGCUAAUCCCAGAUGGAGUAUCUUUCUUCGCAUGAAGGAGAGAGGAAAGGCUCAAACUACCGCUGCUAAAAGAUGGGCCCCCGGCGCAUUACCUAGUGGGUGGGGUAAAGGUUCACCAAGGCCACAAUGCGUACCCAACUUGAGAGGGUGACCGGCCACCCUGGAACUGAAACACGGCCCAAACUCUUACGGGAGGCACCAGUAGGGAAUCUUCCGCAAUGGGCAAAACCCGGACGAACCAACGCCUUGUGAGCAAAAACGGUCUUCGGAUUGUAAAGCUCUGUCUUUUGGAACAAGAGGACUGGAAAGGAAAUGCUCAAUGUGAGACGGUACCAAAGGAGGAAGCCCCGGCUAAUUACUUGCCAGCAGCCCCGGUAAU